rnacentral:rRNA from 1 species
ACUCCUACGGGAGGCAGCAGUAGGGAAUCUUCCACAAUGGCGCAAGCCUGAUGGAGCAACACCGCGUGAGUGAAGAAGGGUUUCGGUCGUCGUAAAGCUCUGUUGUUAAAGAAGAACACGUAUGAGAGUAACUGUUCAUACGUUGACGGUAUUUAACCAGAAAGUCACGGCUAACUACGUGCCAGCAGCCGCGGUAAUACGUAGGUGGCAAGCGUUAUCCGGAUUUAUUGGGCGUAAAGAGAGUGCAGGCGGUUUUCUAAGUCUGAUGUGAAAGCCUUCGGCUUAACCGGAGAAGUGCAUCGGAAACUGGAUAACUUGAGUGCAGAAGAGGGUAGUGGAACUCCAUGUGUAGCGGUGGAAUGCGUAGAUAUAUGGAAGAACACCAGUGGCGAAGGCGGCUACCUGGUCUGCAACUGACGCUGAGACUGAAAGCAUGGGUAGCGAACAGGAUUAGAUACCCUGGUAGAUAGCG